UACAGAGGUCCCAAGCGUUGUUUGGAUUCACUGGGCGUAAAGGGUGCGUAGGCGGUCGGGUAAGUCUGACGUGAAAUCUCCGGGCCUAACCCGGAAACUGCGUCGGAUACUAUCCGGCUAGAGGAUUGGAAGGGAGACUGGAAUACUUGGUGUAGCAGUGAAAUGCGUAGAUAUCAAGUGGAACACCAGUGGCGAAGGCGAGUCUCUGGACAAUUCCUGACGCUGAGGCACGAAAGCCAGGGGAGCAAACGGG
rnacentral:rRNA from 1 species